AGAACCUUUAAAUCCAGUCCCGUGAGGCUGGCAAGGGCACGGAUACAAGCAUGGACAAAAGAGAAUGGGGCUCUGCCGCUUUUCUUCUGUCAUGCCCAGUGGCUUCUUGUCAACCGGCAAGAAGCUUUUUUUCAU
rfam:Brevibacillus borstelensis AK1 seq_num_001, whole genome shotgun sequence.